rnacentral:rRNA from 1 species
CGGACGGCGUUCUCGCCGGAUGUAGGAACCGACCGGGACCGCCGGGCAACCGGCGCCCCCGAGACGGGGCGAACCACGGUGAAAUGACGGAUCGUCGCCCCGCGCCGGCGACUCGCCGAAUGAGUUCUGACCUAUCAACUCGAGACGGCGGGUAGAGGCCCGCCGCGGUAACGACGGGUAACGGGGAAUCAGGGUUCGAUUCCGGAGAGGGAGCCCGAGAAAACGGCUACCACUUCCAAGGAAGGCAGCAGGCGCGCAACUUACCCUAAUCUCGAUUCGAGGAGGUAGUGACAAGAAAUACCGAUGCGGGACCCUACGGGUGCCGCGUUCGGAAUGAGUACGAUUCGAACCACCUAACGAGGAACGAUCGGAGGGCAAGUCUGGUGCCAGCAGCCGCGGUAAUUCCAGCUCCAAUAGCGUACGUUAAAGUUGCUGCAGUUAAAAAGCUCGUGAUAUCUUAUCUCGCCGCCCGUCGCGAGGCGGACGGAGGGAUGGAUGAGGUUACCUG